rnacentral:rRNA from 1 species
UACGAAGGGUGCAAGCGUUACUCGGAAUUACUGGGCGUAAAGCGUGCGUAGGUGGCUUGUUAAGUCUGAUGUGAAAGCCCCGGGCUCAACCUGGGAAUUGCAUUGGAUACUGGCGGGCUAGAGUGCGGUAGAGGGUAGUGGAAUUCCCGGUGUAGCAGUGAAAUGCGUAGAGAUCGGGAGGAACACCUGUGGCGAAGGCGACUGCCUGGACCAGCACUGACACUGAGGCACGAAAGCGUGGGGAGCAAACAGG